rnacentral:rRNA from 1 species
UGGGCAACCUGCCCCUCUCUCUGGGAUAACCCCGGGAAACCGGAGCUAAUACCGGAUACUCCGGCUGGAUCGCAUGGUCCGGCCGGGAAAGGUCCGCCGGAGAGGGAUGGGCCCGCGGCCUAUCAGCUUGUUGGUGGGGUCAUGGCUCACCAAGGCGACGACGGGUAGCUGGUCUGAGAGGGUGAUCGGCCACACUGGGACUGAGACACGGCCCAGACUCCUACGGGAGGCA